UACGUAGGGGCAAGCGUUGUCCGGAUUUAUUGGGCGUAAAGAGCGUGUAGGCGGCUUGGUAGGUCUCGCGUCAAAACCUGAGGCUCAACCUCAGUUCGCGUGGGAAACCACCUAGCUAGAGUCCGGAAGAGGAGAACGGAAUUCCCAGUGUAGCGGUGAAAUGCGCAGAUAUUGGGAAGAACACCAGUGGCGAAGGCGGUUCUCUGGGGACGGUACUGACGCUGAGACGCGAAAGCGUGGGGAGCGAAC
rnacentral:rRNA from 1 species